CGCGACCACGGCGCGUUCCGGACGCGCGCCGCCCGGUCUGCGGCCGGGUGGGCGGGGAUGCGGAUCAGUCUCCGCUCGGUUCGAGUCGUCAGGGCGCGG
rnacentral:tRNA from 1 species